rnacentral:rRNA from 1 species
UACGAAGGGGGCUAGCGUUGCUCGGAAUCACUGGGCGUAAAGCGCACGUAGGCGGGUUCUUAAGUCAGGGGUGAAAUCCUGGAGCUCAACUCCAGAACUGCCUUUGAUACUGGGAAUCUCGAGUCCGGGAGAGGUGAGUGGAACUGCGAGUGUAGAGGUGAAAUUCGUAGAUAUUCGCAAGAACACCAGUGGCGAAGGCGGCCACCUGGACGGCAACUGACGCUGAGACGCGAAAGCGUGGGGAGCAAACAGGG